rnacentral:rRNA from 1 species
AGGACGAACGCUGGCGGCAUGCCUAAUACAUGCAAGUCGAACGAACUCUUCGGAGUUAGUGGCGCACGGGUGCGUAACGCGUGGGAAUCCGCCCCUUGGUUCGGAAUAACAGUUGGAAACGACUGCUAAUACCGGAUGAUGACGAAAGUCCAAAGAUUUAUCGCCAAGGGAUGAGCCCGCGUAGGAUUAGCUAGUUGGUGAGGUAAAGGCUCACCAAGGCAACGAUCCUUAGCUGGUCUGAGAGGAUGAUCAGCCACACGUGGGACUGAGACACGGCCCAGACCUCCGUACGGGAGCAGCAGGUAGGGAAUAUGGACAAGUGGGACGAAAGCCUGACUCCGAGCCAUCGGCCGCGUGUGUGGAGGAAGGUUCUUAGGAUUAGUAAA